AAUGUUAUAGUUUAUUUAAAAUUUUAAAUUGCAAAUUUAAAGAAAAGACUUUCUUUGACAUUU
rnacentral:tRNA from 1 species